rnacentral:rRNA from 1 species
GACGGAGGAUGCAAGCGUUGUCCGGAAUUAUUGGGCGUAAAGAGCUCGUAGGCGGUUUGUCGCGUCUGCUGUGAAAACGCGAGGCUCAACCUCGCGCCUGCAGUGGGUACGGGCAGACUAGAGUGCGGUAGGGGAGAUUGGAAUUCCUGGUGUAGCGGUGGAAUGCGCAGAUAUCAGGAGGAACACCGAUGGCGAAGGCAGGUCUCUGGGCCACUACUGACGCUGAGAAGCGAAAGCAUGGGGAGCGAACAGG